GCGACUAACCGCGAAAGUCUUCGGGGAGCCGUAAGUAGGCUUUGAUCCGGAGGUCUCCGAAUGGGGGAACCCAGCAUGUGCAGACAUGCUAUCCUUAAGUGAAUACAUAGCUUAAGGAGGGAACACGCAGUGAACUGAAACAUCUAAGUAGCUGCAGGAAGAGAAAGAAAUAUCGAUUUCCCAAGUAGCGGCGAGCGAACAGGAAAGAGCCCAAACCGGCAGAUUUAUCUGCCGGGGUUGUAGGACUGAGACAUGGCACUUCAGAGGAUAGCAGAAGCGUUUGGGAAAGCGCGCCAGAGAGGGUGAGAGCCCCGUAAGCGAAAUCCAAAGAAGGCCUAUCAGUAUCCUGAGUAGGGCGGGACACGUGAAAUCCCGUUUGAAUCCGCGAGGACCAUCUCGCAAGGCUAAAUACUAACCAGUGACCGAUAGUGAACCAGUACCGUGAGGGAAAGGUGAAAAGAACCCCGGGAGGGGAGUGAAAGAGAACCUGAAACCGUGUGCCUACAAGUAGUCAGAGCCCGUUAACGGGUAAUGGCGUGCCUUUUGUAGAAUGAACCGGCGAGUUGCGUUAGUCAGCAAGGUUAAGUCAGAAAAGACGGAGCCGUAGCGAAAGCGAGUCUGAAGAGGGCGAGCAGUUGGCUGACGCAGACCCGAAACCAAGUGACCUACCCAUGACCAGGUUGAAGGCGCGGUAAAACGCGCUGGAGGACCGAACCCACGUAAGUUGAAAAUUGCGGGGAUGAGUUGUGGGUAGCGGUGAAAUUCCAAACGAACUUGGAGAUAGCUGGUUCUCUCCGAAAUAGCUUUAGGGCUAGCCUCGCAAAGAGGAUGCUGGAGGUAGAGCUCUGUUUGGACUAGGGGCCCGUCAAGGGUUACUGAAUUCAGAUAAACUGCGAAUUCCAGACAUUUAUGUGCGGGAGUCAGACUGCGAGUGAUAAGAUCCGUAGUCGAAAGGGAAACAGCCCAGAUCACCAGUUAAGGUCCCAAAAUUCAUGCUAAGUGGAAAAGGAUGUGGAGUUGCGCAGACAACUAGGACGUUGGCUCAGAAGCAGCCAUCAUUCAAAGAGUGCGUAAUAGCUCACUAGUCGAGUGACGCCGCGCCGAAAAUUUACCGGGGCUAAGCAUGAUACCGAAACUGUGGAUGUGCGUUUAUGCACGUGGUAGGAGAGCGUUCUAGCGGCGGUGAAGCAUGACCGAGAGGACAUGUGGAGCUUCUAGAAGUGAGAAUGCCGGUAUGAGUAACGAAAGACAGGUGAGAAUCCUGUCCGCCGCAAGACUAAGGUUUCCUGGGGCAGGCUCGUCCGCCCAGGGUAAGUCGGGACCUAAGGCGAGGCCGAGAGGCGUAGUCGAUGGACAACAGGUUGAAAUUCCUGUACUGCACCGAAUCGUUAUGAGCGAUGGAGGGACGCAGGAGGCUAGCAGCGCGUGGUGCUGGAUACCACGUUCAAGCGUCAAGUCUGAGAG
rnacentral:rRNA from 1 species